GCCUCUUUAGCUCAGUUGGACGGAGCACGUGAUUUGUAAUCCCGAGGUAGUUGGUUCGAAUCCGACAAGAGGCU
rnacentral:tRNA from 1 species